UAAUACCGGCGCCCCAAGUGGUAGUCGCUUUUAUUGGGCCUAAAACGUCCGUAGCCGGUCUGGUACAUUCGUGGGUAAAUCAACCAGCUCAACUGGUUGAAUUCUGCGAGCACGGCCAGACUUGGGACCGGGAGAGGUGUGGGGUACUCUCAGGGUAGGGGUAAAAUCCUGUCAUCCUGAGAGGACCACCUGUUGCGAAGGCGCCAUACUAGAACGGAUCCGACGGUCAGGGACGAAGCCUGGGGGCACGAACCGGAUUAGAUACCCGGGUAGUCCUAGGUGUAAACGCUGUGGACUUGAUGUUGGGAGCGCUCCGAGCGCCCUCAGUGUCGAAGCGAAGGUGAUAAGUCCACUGCCUGGGGAGUACGGUCGCAAGGCUG
rnacentral:rRNA from 1 species